ACGGCUGCCCUCUCGGAGUUCCGCCGGGCCGUGGGUCCAGGCAGGGGAUGCUUCGGGCAGCCGGCAGCCGCAGCCAGCCACGAACGUCCCGGCGGAGAGCGCCUGCCCGCUUUCUCUGCCACUGCUUCUCCUCAGCGCCCCUGGGCUGCGCCCGUAACGGCGGCACGGUAGCCAGCGGAGGCAGAAGGCCACCAGAGCGAGACGCUUGGGCCAUGGGACAGCUUGUCCGGAACGAAGCUAACGAUUCCCACCUCCCCGUACUGCUCAACGGCUGCCGCAGCCGGGGCUCCGCCCCAUUCCCGGAGCCGUCAUCUCUGGCCCGGGAGCCGCCGGGACCGUCAUGCACUCUCUCGCGCUCCGUAAGCGGAGGCUUCUGCCCCCAACAAAGAUGGCUGCCUACUCUGUCCUACUCUGCCCUUCGGCCGGUGUCGAAUGCCAGACUUUCACUUUCGGGUCACUGUUGACGGGGAUGGUGCCGAGUCCGAAGACUGUGGGGCUGGUCAAGCUAGAUUCCCUCCAGACCAUUUCUGUUAUGAGGGGGAAACUACUGGACAGAAUGACAAGGCCAAGGAGGCUGAGAGACUGGGCACCUACUGUGGUCUCCAAAAGUCCUUCCUAUACCCUCCACGAGGGUCUAAGCCCUGCCCUCAAAGCCCUUGUGCCUCAGCAUCCUGCCUCAGUGACUCAGACAACCUGCUUCAGGUGGCCAUGCCUCAGAGGCUCCUGCUGACUGAAGAGAUGAGACUCCAGUUCUCCCAGUCCCCAAAUUCCCAUGUCUAUAUUCUCUCCUAAUCUGGAUCUUCCAAGAUUCGUUCAUACUGCUUACCUCCCUUUCGCUUUCUCUCUCUCUUUUCCUGCCACCUGCCCUUCCUCCUCCAGGAAGCCAGCCGCCUGGCUGAGGAGCUGGUGUCUGAGCAGGAGCGCAUGAAACAGAAAGCAGAGAAGAAACGACUUAAAAAGAAGCGUCAAAAGGAUCAGAAGCGAAGGGAGCGUUUGGAGCAGGAUGGCAGGGAGUCCAACGCGAAUGUCUACAGGCAGGUACUAAGAGCACCAGGUGCCAGGAGGUGGGGGCUGGAAAAGCAGGCGAUCCCAACUCUGCACCUAUUCACCUUCCCUCCAGUCUGAGGCAUUGCAGAUGGGGAUGGGAGCCCCCCCAUCCAGCUCUGGGAGCCCAGCUCAGCGACAGUGUUGCGAGGAAGAGGUAGGAGCCGCCUUCCUUCCCUUCAUGGUCUCUGCCCACCCUCUCCUCCCACUACUCUAGGACAUACCUCAUCCCUGCCCCUCAUUAACUUUCCUUUCUGCUCACGGGACUCACUGGAUCUAUCUAGUACCUUUGUGUCUCUGGCUUUGUGCAAGGUUGGGGAUUGGCCCCCCAGUGCCUGCAGAGAAAAGGGACUGAGUCAGGAGCCCCAAGGCAGGAGCUUGGGUCCCCAAGAGAAGAUGAGUUAGGAGGAAGGAAGCACUCCAAAAGAAGAGAGCCCCAGGCAGAAUCAUAAGGCAGAGGUGAGGAGGAGGGCAGAAGAACCUCAGCUGGAACCAGUGGAAGGGGUGCCAGAGGGCUCUGGGAAGUUACGCAAUCUAAGGGUAGAGGGCAGUGACCAGUAGAAGGAGUUCUCUGGCCCUAGGAUUAAGAGACCUGGGAUCAAGCUCCAUCACUGUCACCCUGACCCGGGGUAGUUUCCUCUGCAAGAAAGUAGGGCUGAUGCCAUCUUGCAGACCUGUCAUGAGGAUUACAUGAGUUGCCUGAUACAAACUGUUUAAACAAAGGAGAAGGAUUUGGGAAGGCUGACGCCUUAAGUCCUGCUUGACUUUGCUUCCCAUUCCUAGGCAUCUCUAGGAUUGCUGGCAGCUGCCUUACAACAGAGCCAGGAGUGAGAUUCUUUCUCUCUCCUUCCUCACCCAUCCCUCCCUGCGAUAGCCCCAUCUGAACCUUCCUACCCUCUCUUCUCCCCAGAGUUUGGUACCAGCUUUGCCCAAAAUGGUUUCCACCACAAGGCCAUGGUCCUCUUCACCCAGGCCUUGAAGCUCAACCCCCGGGACCACCGGUUAUUUGGAAAUCGCUCAUUCUGCCAUGAAUGGCCGGGUCAGCCGGUGUGAGCCCUGGCUGAUGCCCAGGUAGCCCUUACUUUGCGGCCUGGCUGGCCCCGGGGCCUCUUCCACCUGGGCAAAGCCUUGAUGGGACUGCAGCAUUUCGAAGAGGCAGCUGCUGUGUUCCAGGAGACUCUGAGAGGCGGAUCCCAGCCUGACGCAGCCUGGGAGCUCCACUUCUGCCUUCUACAACUCACUCUGCAGGACCAGUGAGGAGGAAGCCCUGGUCCGCCUCUGUCAACUGGAUUCCCCUAUGCAUUUCCCCAUGUUGAGCUGGGGCCUUCAGGCCUCCUCUCCCUCAGUUGUCCUGGAAGCACUGCCCCGAGGGCCCCUGGCCUUCUGUCUCCACCCUUGCAUUAUCCCCCACAUCACCUAAGCCACUCCAGCUGGUCCCUCCCCCAUACUCAGAGCAGAAGACCCUGUCCUCUCCAUUUCCAGGACUCCUCAAAGGGCUGGGGCAUCCUGGGACUUGGGCCCCAGCACCUACCUCACACCAGAUGAAGGAGGACCUGUCCCUAAUAAGGCAAGGCCAUGUGUGCAUCCCACAGGGAUGAAGGACACUGUGUGGUAGCAGUUCACUGCACAUUUUGAGACCUGUACUCUAAAACCAUGGUUGGGAACAUCCCUGGCAGUCAUGCCUCUUGCCACAGAGACCUUCUGAUGAGAGAAAGGAGCCCUACAUCCACUGAAAUAGGCUUUCUUUGGUUCUCAAGCAGAUGGCUUCUUCUGGGAGCAGUAAGGAAAAAUAAAAUCCCCCAAGGCUCAAGAAGGGAUCUGUACAAAAGUUCAGGUUUUCAGACUAUAACAGACCUGGCAGUGGGGCCAUUUGAGGCUUGCCCUGCUUCUUGGCCCUGGGGGACUCACUCACCGGCCAGAGCUCUGUGCUCAGGAUGGGGUCACAGUAAUGAAUAAGGCCCAAGUCUCGCCCUUCAGCUUGACAGAUGCUCACUUCUUCCUAAUCCCAGUUCUUGCCCUGUUUUCUGAAGCCUGAGCUCCUCAUGCCCUGUUUCCUGUCCACACUUCUAUACAUAUUCUGACCUCUCCUUUGCCCAAUGGUCUGAUGCUCCCCUCCUCCCACUGCUAAAAGAUUCACCAAGGGUUUGUAUUUACCAGCUUACCAGCUCCUGCCUGGAGCUGGCAGAGCCCAUACAACUCCAGGUACCUGCACUGCUGGCUCUCCCACUGAUGGGGCCUUAGCAGGUACCCAGGCUUCUGCUACUUUGGUCAUGGUCUUUCUCCACUCCAGCACUGGGCAUUGUAACCAGCCUUUCCCCCAUGUGAAUUUACUUAAUUUUUUCCACCCAGGGUCACUGCCCCUAAAGAAGGCUAAAAUCCUCUACUUUCUGAAUAAGAAUCAUGACCUUCUGGUUUCUCCUCUAAGAUCCUGGCAGCUGCUCCUGGCUGGUUCCUCCCUAGCUCUGCCUGGGACUCUCAGCUCAUUUAAAUGUGGAUCUGUAGGGGACUUUUAGGCCUCCAGAAUGCCUUUCCUAGAGGAACCAUUUAUCAGGAUGAAUGACUCUUGCUGUCCUAUGGGUCUUAUUCAACACCAUUUGCACCUAGAGAUAGGAGAUGCUGAAGCACCUCUUUAUUUAAGGCUGUCCCAAAUUCUUUUUAUUGUUUAUGGUUUCAGGCCCCUCAAAUACUGUAUGACAGAUUGAAGUCUGCCAUUACUAGUUGGGUCACCUUCGGCAGAUUUCUUAACACCUGUGCUUCAGUUUCCUCAUCUGUAAAAUGUGGGCAAUCCCUACCUCACAGGGCUGUUGUGAGGGCUGAAAGAGAAAGUGUGAGAACCUACCUACCGAAAGCCUGGUACAUAGUGGGUGUUAAAUAAACUGAUUUUUGUCUG